GACUGAAACCUUUUCUACGUUUAUUUGUCAAUAUAACGUAAUGGGGGGGGGGGCAUUGGGCCAACCCCCGGUUAGAAAUUAACAAAUCGCCUACUGACUACAGUGUGUGCAUCAGCAACAGCACCUGCUGAUCUGACUGCCAUCUUGAACAGGGAGCUAGAUAUUAUCAGAAAAUGGAUCCUUGAAAACAAACUGACACUUAACACAUCCAAAACAAAAAGCAUAGUAUUUGGUCCAAAUCAUUCUCCAAGGCGAGAGCCAGAGCUUAAAACACCCAUCCAUCAAGUAAAGAAAACUAAGCCAUUGGGCAUCACCCUUGACAACAAAUUGUCCUGGUCAUAACACAUCGAUACUAUUGUCAAUAGAAUGGGCAAGGCAUUAGCUGUAGUAAGGCUAUGUAGAAAAUGCUUUACCUCAGAUUUAACUCAACUUGUACUAAGUACCCCUUUUCUUUCGCAGCUUGAUUACUGCCAGAUAAUAUGGGCGAAUGCCCCCAAAAAAGAUCUAACCAAACUCCAGCUAGUACAGAACAAGGUGGCACGUCUUGCUCUUCAGUGUCAGUAUGGCACUAACAUCAAUAGCAUGCAAUUCGUCUUAAAUGGCUAAAAGUUAGCUAAAAAACAGGAUGAUCGCUGCACUUCUACUUUCAACAUAGAAAGGUUUACAAUCAAAAACUCUGUCAUAUCAGUAUAGUAAAAACACAUCCCCAUUUGCUGUGCCCUAAAGCACAGCAAAUGGGGAUCCUAACAAAUAAACAGAAACCACUCCUGCAGCACAAUACACCUAUCUGCUGUUGAUCUGUGUGUUAUGUGUGCUCGAUACAUUCAUACACAACAAAGCUAAAUACCUACCUUUGUGUCACCUCCUCCUCAAGGGUUGUGUUUAACAAUUUAUUGGCAGCAAUGAUUUGGAACAUACUGAACAUCCAACUCAACAACAGAAGUGAAUUAUACUACAGGACUUGUCUGAGAAUUUCUUAUGGAUGUUUUUUCUUUUUUCUUUCUUUGUUUGACAUAUUAUCCACCACAUUUCCUGCAGAUGGGAUAGCAUGGGGAUCGAUACCGGGCUGACCAUUUGGUAGACAAGCAAUUCAACAGAGGGAGAAGAGAGUCUAUCACCCACUCCAUCUCAUACCAUGAGGGAGCCCUCUCUGGGGGUUAUACCCACUGAGCUAAAUGUCUGGGACUAAAGGCAUAAUGAUAAAACAGCAGCUUAGUUCGUACCGCAGCAGAUCUGUAAAAAGGAAUCUGUAAAUUGAGGUGUUACUAGCUACACCAGCAGGUGGUGAGAUCCCCUAACAUGAGCUGACGGAACUACAGUCUGUAAGCUACUGGAAGAACAGCUGAACAAGAGUCAUCGUACAACAGGAGAAAAACCAGCUGGCUUUUACCAAGAGGAGAAAGACGAGGUGGAGCAUACUUUAUUUAACCCAAAAUUCAGGAUGGGGUUCAUCAUUGUCUUCUCCAGGUGAGUGUGCUGUGUUGUGCUUGCUUACUUACUGUAUUAACUACCGUUUGCUAACGUUAGUGUUAUCUAGCGGUGGCAGUGGUGUACAAGCUAGCUCAUGUUAGAUCAUUUAGUUCGGGACUAAAAGCGGGUUUAGUGAAAACUAACUCUAACUUAAACUCUGGAUCAGUUACCAUGGUAACUGACUGUGAACCUAGCCUGCUCGCUGACAGGGUUUCUUCAACAAACCCAGAGUUUCUCUCCGUCUCCUCCCUCUUACAGAGUCAGACACAUUAUUUCAUUUCCUCAUUGAUUCAGUCCGUAUCAAAGCACUGUUGAAGCGCAUUAGUUAGCGGAGGUUUACUGUCAGAAUCUAAAUCCUGGUUGGAUAUUAGUUUGUUACUCAGGACUGUCUGAAGUUACCGCUUUUAUGCGCUGUCAGUCAUUUCUUUGAACAGCAGUUUUUGCCCUGACAUUCAAAUAUUACACAGCAUCAAGUCAGCUCAGAAUAAAACCUCUGCAUGUCCUUCUGUUUUUAUAACACUGUGACUCACACAAGACAGCUGUCAGUUUGGUAGAGCAGCUCAACUGAAAUGUUUACUGCAUAUAAUGUGUAAUCUCAGUUUAAAUGGUGAAUGAUGUCUCUGGUGUGUUUCUACUACAUGGUUAUGGGAAUGAUGUGACUUGUGAUGUGAUGUGGAUUUUCUCCGAGAUAUCACUGACCCUUUCAUCCCUUUCUUUCUCUCCAUCUUCUCAGCAGAACCAUGACCUCAUCUCUCCUGUCCUGUUACCAUCACUGGAAUCCAAGCUAUCAUCAACACUGCAUUCUACUGCUGCUGGACGAUGCUGAACUCCUCUGAUUUUCAUCUCCAUCUAAACUUUUCUGUACAAGUAUAUAGUUUACUUUUGAAUAGUUUAUCACAAUGUAUUUGUUUUACAUUUAUGUUUAAAUAAAUACAAGCCUACUUUUGAGAA